rnacentral:snoRNA from 1 species
CCCUGUAUUUAAAAGUGAUCAUGGCCUGCCUGUGCUCUGGUCAUUAAUAGUGCAGGAAGAGGAACUGCUGACAGCCUUUCCCUGUGUUUGGAAGGUCUAUUCCUGUCCUAGACGACUUCUAAUGUGGUGUGCAUA